CUUAUUCCUUAUUUCUAUUAUGUCAUCCAUCCUACUUCAGGUUUCAUUACGACCUUGUGUAUUGUUCUCUAUCUUGAGUCGGGGGUCUAUCGGAAAUAGCCUCUCUACUUCUUCGGAGGUAGCGGUAUGAACUGCGUACAUUUUACCCUCCCUAGACCUCAAUACACUGGGUUUGUUGUUGUUGUAAAAGAGUAGGUGAAGAAUCCAAGAGGGACACCUUACAAAGGGAAAGAAAAUGGUUUCGACCAAAGAAAUCACAUCAUUCAAUAGGUGAAGUGGAAUGCUCAUUAGAGAUGCAAUAGUAUUAUCGCGCGCAUGUUUAUGUAUUAUGCGUUUUUAUCGUAAAGGACACUUCAUAUGGCCUGAAUUUUCGAACCACCAGAACAAUCAUGUGAAGCCUAUGAUAUCCAGCCAACGCACCAGCAACAGCAAUGGCACGGAGGAUGUAAUUUGCACCAUCACCUCUGAAAAGAGAGAUGAGACCAUCAGCUGAUCGUUUUCAAGAAUGCAAAACGAACUCGCAGGUUUCCAUAUGCGUAAUGCUUCUUGUAAAGUCAUUUCUGGGCAAAAUAGGAUGAAACAAACCGAACACUUGAUCAUUAUCACCUCAGUUAGCUCUGCGGCAUGCAGCCUUGUUAGAUGUUUGACUCGGGUUGUUAAAUCUGUAACAAUUCUGAUUGUUUUUGUAUAAUAUAAACCAAAAUCUGGUGAAUAUAUGACCUCUUAUAUGAUUCACCAGCAAAAAGAUUCACUAACCUUUGUGUUUAGGAGUGUUGUAAAUGAGUCCAGCUGUUUGUGAACAAAAGUUCAGCUCAAGCUCGUUUUAUGAAACGAGCUGAGCUCUUGAGCUGAGCUUGUGUUCGGCUUUUAGCUUGAAUAGCAGUCGAGCUGAGCUCAACGAAACUUGGUUUGUGCUUUUUAGUUGCAUUUCAGAAGUAUGUAUCGUAUCCAUAUCCUUUUUGCUUAUACACAAAGAUUUCCU